UACAGAGGUGGCAAGCGUUGUUCGGAAUUACUGGGCGUAAAGGGCGCGUAGGCGGUUCGUUAAGUCCUGUGUGAAAUCCCCCGGCUCAACGUGGGAACUGCACAGGAAACGUAGCGGGCUUGAGUUCGGGAGAGGGAAGCGGAAUUCCGGGUGUAGCGGUGAAAUGCGUAGAUAUCCGGAGGAACACCGGUGGCGAAGGCGGCUCCUGGACCGACACUGACGCUGAGGCGCGAAAGCUAGGGGAGCAAACGGG
rnacentral:rRNA from 1 species